UAUCAAGCAAAUGCAACACACAAGUGAUUCCACCCUUGUGCUAUGCCCUAGUUUUGGUUUAGGACUCUCUCUUUAUCUAAGAGAAGUGUUAUUUCAAUAACAAAUAUAAACUAAGGAAAUAAACCCUACAAGGUUCUAUUUAUACAACAUUACAAAUAAUAGAGAAAUGACAAAAGAGCCCUUUAGUGACUAGUCUUUAAAAAUACUCAAAAGUGUCUUGAUCAUGAUCAUACUUGUAUCAAUAGCACUUUCAUUCCCAUUAGUAUAUGGUGGCUUAUUUUUACUUCUCAAUUAUCCUUUUAGUAUAACUGUCUGUAAUAUAUAUUCUUGCCUUACGUCAUAUUUAUACUUGUGUUAUCUUUAGAGCUUACUCGGUUGAUAACUACUGAGUACCUCAUGUUUGGUACUCAUACUACACUCUGUAGCCUGUAGAUUGUAGUAUGAGUUUUCACUACUAAUAUGUGCAACGUAUGGAGCUGUUAUGGAUUGAAGAUUUGAGGUAAGGUCUAGAUGUGAGGAGUUGUUCCUUCUCCCUCUCUCUUUUGUUGGAUUGAUCUUUGUUUUGUAUUUUGGAAAAGG
rnacentral:lncRNA from 1 species